rnacentral:rRNA from 1 species
AUACAGAGGGUGCAAGCGUUAAUCGGAUUUACUGGGCGUAAAGCGCGCGUAGGUGGCUAAUUAAGUCAAAUGUGAAAUCCCCGAGCUUAACUUGGGAAUUGCAUUCGAUACUGGUUAGCUAGAGUAUGGGAGAGGAUGGUAGAAUUCCAGGUGUAGCGGUGAAAUGCGUAGAGAUCUGGAGGAAUACCGAUGGCGAAGGCAGCCAUCUGGCCUAAUACGGACACGGAGGUGCGAAAGCAUGGGGAGCAAACAGGAUUAGAUACCCUGGUAGUCCAUGUCGUAAACGAUGUCUACUAGCCGUUGGGGCCCUUGAGGCUUUAGUGGCGCAGCUAACGCGAUAAGUAGACCGCCUGGGGAGUACGGUCGCAAGACUAAAACUCAAAUGAAUUGACGGGG